rnacentral:rRNA from 1 species
AGGGCGUGUGGGGGAUGUCUUGGCGUCAGAAGGCGAUGAAGGGCGUGGAAGGCUGCGAUAAGCCUGGGGAAGCUGUCAAACGAGCUUUGAUCCCGGGAUUCCCGAAUUACUGUUGGCUGAAUACAUAGGCCAUCAGAGCGAACGUGGGGAACUGAAACAUCUCAGUACCCAUAGGAAAAGAAAGCAAGAGCGACUUCCCGAGUAGCGGCGAGCGAAACGGAAUCAGCCCAAACCAUCGGCAUGUCCGGUGGGGUUGUGGGGCUCACAUGUGGAGUUACAAACCUGACAAUUAGAAGAAUCAGAUGGAAAUCUGAACCACAGAGGGUGAUAGUCCCGUAUUUGACAACUGAUCAGGCUCCGUGAGAAACCCCGAGUAGGACCGGUCACGUGGAACCCGGUUUGAAUCCAGGAGGCCCAUCUCCUAAGGCUAAGUACUCUCUGACGACCGAUAGUGAAAAAGUAGCGCGAGCGAAAGAUGAAAAGAACCCCUGGAGGGGAGUUAAAAGGACCUGAAACCACACGCUUACAAGCUGUCGGAGCACAUUGUUGUGUGACGGCGUGCCUUUUGCAUAAUGAUCCGGCGAGUUACCGUCGACGGCCUGGUUAAGGCCUUAAGGGCUGAAGCCUCAGGGAAACCGAGUCUGAAUAGGGCGUUUUGUCGGCGGCGGUAGACGCGAAACCCGGUGAUCUACCCAUGGGCAGGUUGAAGCGUGGGUAAGACUGCGUGGAGGACCGAACUCACUAAUAUUGAAAAAUUAGGGGAUGACCCGUGGGGAGGAGUAAAAGUCUAAUCAAACCGGGAGAUAGCUCGUUCUCUCCGAAAUAACUUUAGGGUUAGCCUUGAGAAACUACAUCAUGGGGGUAGAGCUACUGAGCUGGUUUGGGGCCCUUCCCGGGGUACCCUGCCUAUCCAAACUCCGAAUACCAUGAUGACUAUCUCGGGAGUUAGUCCAUGCGGGAGAAGCUGCAUGGUCGAGAGGGAAACAACCCAGAUCGCCUGCUAAGGUCCCAAAGAUUUGCUGAGUCACAAAGGAUGUCAGAGUACUGUGACAGCCGGGAUGUUGGCUUAGAAGCAGCCAUCAUUUAAAAAGUGCGUAAUAGCUUACCGGUCGAGUAUUUUGGCACCGAUAAUGAACGGGAGUAAGCAAAUCACCGAAGCAGCGGGCUCGCAAGAGCGGUAGUAUAGCGUCCUGAAUUCAUCGAAGCGAUACCGAGAGGAUUCGUGGAGCGUUCAGGAGUGAUUAUGCCGGAAUAAGUAACGAUAAAGCAGGUGAGAAUCCUGCUCGCCGUAAGCCUAAGGUUUCCUGGGGAAGGUAAAUCCGCCCAGGGUUAGCCGGUCCCUUAGUCGAGGCCGAAAGGCGUAGACGAUGGAAAGCAGGUUAAUAUUCCUGCGCCGGAGAUGGAUACUGAAGGGGGGACGUUGUGUGAAUGGUGAGCGGGCUGCUAGACAUGCCCGUGGGCAACCCGAGCGCGUUUACGAUCGCGAAGUCAUCUGCAGCACAAUCAAGAAAAGCCCCGUAGGGUCAAAUCCAUCCCGACCGUACUAAAACUGACACAGGUAGGCGAGGCGAGUAGCCUCAGGCGCUCGGGAGAACGCUGGUUAAGGAACUCUGCAAAUUGGCCCCGUAACUUCGGGAUAAGGGGUGCCAUCGAAAGAUGGUCUCAGCAAAGCGGCACUAGCGACUGUUUACUAAAAACACAGGUCUCUGCGAACUCGUAAGAGGAGGUAUAGAGACUGACGCCUGCCCGGUACCGGUAAGUUAAUAAAGAGGGUUAGCUUUCGGGCGAAGCCCGCAAUUGAAGCUCCGGUAAACGGCGGCCGUAACUAUGACGGUCCUAAGGUAGCGAAAUUCCUUGUCGGGUAAGUUCCGACCUGCAUGAAUGGCGUAACGACUGGUGCACUGUCUCGAUCAGCGACCCGGUGAAAUUGUAGCCGUGGUGAAGAUGCCACGUACCCGCACCGUGACGGAAAGACCCCAUGAACCUUUACUGCAGGCUGAUACUGUCACUUGGCAUGUUUUGUGUAGGAUAGGUGGGAGGCUACGAAGUCGGUACGCCAGUAUCGAUGGAGCCAUCCUUGAAAUACCACCCUGAACCUGUUAGGUGUCUAACGCUGACCCGUGAACCCGGGCGGCGAACACUGUCAGUUGGGCAGUUUGACUGGGGCGGUCUCCUCCCAAAGAGUAACGGAGGAGCUCAAAGGUACCCUCAGCCUGGUUGGCAAUCAGGCGAAGAGCGUAAAGGUAGAAGGGUGCUUGACUGCGAGACAAAUGAGUCGAGCAGAAACGAAAGUUGGACUUAGUGAUCCGGCGGUUCCGAAUGGAAGGGCCGUCGCUCAUCAGAUAAAAGGUACUCUGGGGAUAACAGGCUGAUCCCGCCCGAGCGUCCAUAGCGGCGGCGGGGUUUGGCACCUCGAUGUCGGCUCAUCACAUCCUGGGGGUGAAGAAGCUCCCAAGGGUUCGGCUGUUCGCCGAUUAAAGUGGUACGUGAGCUGGGUUUAAACCGUCGUGAGACAGGUUGGUCCGUAUCUGGUGUGGGCGUACGAAACUUGAGGGGUAUUCUCCUUAGUACGAGAGGAUUUGGAGGGACGUACCUCUGGUGUUCCUGUUGUCAUGCCAAUGGCAUCGCAGGGUAGCUAUGUACGGUUGUGAUAAACGCUGAAAGCAUAUAAGCGUGAAGCCAUCCCCAAGAUAAGGUUUCGUUGGCCGAAAGGCCUAAACUCCCCUGGAAGACUACCAGGUUGAUAGGCUGGCUGUGUAAGGCGUGAAAGCGUCUGAGCUGACCAGUACUAAUGGAGAAAUGUCUGGCCA